rnacentral:rRNA from 1 species
GACAGAGGGUGCGAACGUUGUUCGGAAUUACUGGGCGUAAAGCGCGUGUAGGCGGCAGCGCAAGUCGGGCGUGAAAUCCCACGGCUCAACCGUGGAAGUGCACUCGAAACUGCGCAGCUAGAGUCCUGGAGAGGAAGGUGGAAUGCUUGGUGUAGAGGUGAAAUUCGUAGAUAUCGAGAGGAACACCGGUGGCGAAGGCGGCCAACUGGACGAAUACUGACGCUGAGACUCGAAAGCGUGGGGAGCAAACAGG